rnacentral:rRNA from 1 species
GGACCUCCAAUCAGACAAGAAUACCCGC